rnacentral:rRNA from 1 species
AAUUUUGGACAAUGGGGGAAACCCUGAUCCAGCCAUCCCGCGUGUAUGAUGAAGGCCNNNGGGUUNUNAAGUACUUUUGGCAGNGANNAAAAGGUAUCCCCUAAUACGGGAUACUGCUGACGGUAUCUGCAGAAUAAUAACCGGCUAACUACGUGCCAGACGCCGCGGUAAUACGUAGGGUGCAAGCGUUAAUCGGAAUUACUGGGCGUAAAGCGUGUGUAGGCGGUUCGGAAAGAAAGAUGUGAAAUCCCAGGGGUCAACCUUGGAACUGCAUUUUUAACUGCCGAGCUAGAGUAUGUCAGAGGGGGGUAGAAUUCCACGUGUAGCAGUGAAAUGCGUAGAUAUGUGGAGGAAUACCGAUGGCGAAGGCAGCCCCCUGAGAUAAUACUGACGCUCAGACACGAAAGCGUGGGGAGCAAACAGG